rnacentral:tRNA from 1 species
GGGAAUGUGGCUUAGUGGUAGAGUGCUUGCCUAGCAUGCAUGAAGCCUCAGGUUCAAUUUCCUCAGUACCA